GUCCCAUAAUUUUAUGAAAAAAAAAGGUAGGACAAAUUGCAACAGAAGCAAACUCAACUGAUUUUAUAUCCUCAAUAUGUUCUGAGUAGCUGAGGCAAGGA